AGGACGAACGCUGGCGGCGCGCCUAACACAUGCAAGUCGAGCGAUGAAGCCCUUCGGGGCUGAUUAGCGGCGGACGGGUGAGUAACACGUAGGUAACCUGCCUCAUAGAGGGGGAUAGCCUCCCGAAAGGGAGAUUAAUACCGCAUAAUGUAUUUUGGCUGCAUGGCCGAAAUAUCAAAGGAGUAAUCCGCUAUGAGAUGGACCCGCGGCGCAUUAGCUAGUUGGUGAGGUAACGGCUCACCAAGGCGACGAUGCGUAGCCGACCUGAGAGGGUGAUCGGCCACAUUGGAACUGAGACACGGUCCAGACUCCUACGGGAGGCAGCAGUGGGGAAUAUUGCGCAAUGGGGGAAACCCUGAACCGCAGCAACGCCGCGUGAAUGAUGAAGGCCUUAGGGUUGUAAAGUUCUGUCUUCCGGGACGAUAAUGACGGUACCAGAGGAGGAAGCCACGGCUAACUACGUGCCAGCCGCCGC
rnacentral:rRNA from 1 species